AGAGUUUGAUCCUGGCUCAGGAUGAACGCUGGCGGCGUGCCUAACACAUGCAAGUCGAACGAAGCUUGACGGAUGAUUUCUUCGGAAUGAAACCUGAUAUGACUUAGUGGCGGACGGGUGAGUAACACGUGAGCAACCUGCCUUUCAGAGGGGGAUAACGGCUGGAAACGGUCGCUAAUACCGCAUGAUGUGUUCGGAUGGCAUCAUCUGAACAUCAAAGAUUUAUCGCUGAAAGAUGGGCUCGCGUCUGAUUAGAUAGUUGGUGGGGUAACGGCCUACCAAGUCUACGAUCAGUAGCCGGACUGAGAGGUUGAACGGCCACAUUGGGACUGAGAUACGGCCCAGACUCCUACGGGAGGCAGCAGUGGGGAAUAUUGCACAAUGGGGGAAACCCUGAUGCAGCAACGCCGCGUGAAGGAUGACGGUUUUCGGAUUGUAAACUUCUUUUCUUAGUGACGAAGACAGUGACGGUAGCUAAGGAAUAAGCAUCGGCUAACUACGUGCCAGCAGCCGCGGUAAUACGUAGGAUGCAAGCGUUAUCCGGAUUUACUGGGUGUAAAGGGAGCGCAGGCGGGACUGCAAGUUGGAUGUGAAAUACCGUGGCUUAACCACGGAACUGCAUCCAAAACUGUAGUUCUUGAGUGAAGUAGAGGCAAGCGGAAUUCCGAGUGUAGCGGUGAAAUGCGUAGAUAUUCGGAGGAACACCAGUGGCGAAGGCGGCUUGCUGGGCUUUAACUGACGCUGAGGCUCGAAAGUGUGGGGAGCAAACAGGAUUAGAUACCCUGGUAGUCCACACUGUAAACGAUGAUAGCUAGGUGUGGGGGGUCUGACCCCUUCCGUGCCGGAGUUAACGCAAUAAGCUAUCCACCUGGGGAGUACGACCGCAAGGUUGAAACUCAAAGGAAUUGACGGGGGCC
rnacentral:rRNA from 1 species